rnacentral:lncRNA from 8 species
GAUGGGAGACUAUGCUGCUCAAAGCUACCAAUGUUAUCCUCAUAAAAAGUCCAUCCUCAUGAUGUCAAGCCACACAAUGGUCACAUUGGAGUACCUGUUAAUUUUGAGAGAUUCAUAAUUAACAUAGGCUAAGUUAAAUUGUUAUAAGAAUAGUGAUAAGACUGUAUUUCUGACAGGCUUGCAGUUAGCCUUUAUCUGCAGUGACACCUCUAUGAAUACUGUGCAGGCUAGACUGCUGGCAAAUAUUUUGCUAUGCCACACUGUUUAUUUUGAAAGGACAAAUCAUUCAGGGACAGGCAGUGGCACAGAAUAUAAUCAGUUUGUGGUGUGAGCGCAGUGUUGGUUUUUGCUUCAAGUCACUUUGGUAUAGUCAAGCUUUUACAGAUACAGUGAAGUAGCUCUGUAACUUCAGCAAACAGUCUGUCACCUGACUUGAUCUUUGGACUUGAGGGUUUUGGUGCAGCAAACUGGCUAACUAACGUAACACCAAUCAAUGAAUAUGCUCAUAAAUAGCAGCUAGCUAGUUCAUGCUGGUGAAGACUGAUUUUAGCGAGAAACGCCGACUGUGGUUUACAUUCUAACAUGCGAUGUUAGUAUGCUUAAACGAUAUCCGUUUUCUCAAAGAGCGCAAUGUUUGCUAACCUGGUAAUUCAAACCUACUGCUAAUGUAAAUAUUCACCUUACCCAAACACCGGUCAUUCUUGUGACGGUGCGUCAGAAUAAAAUUACCGAAUGGAAACUGGAGCUAGAGUUUAGGGUUCUGGUUGUGAAACACGGAACAAAGCAAUCUGAGACUGAAAAUCCAGAUGUGAAUCCCCAUGGUGACAGGAGAAAAACACCAGAGAGCACUGCAGAUGGAUGAGUUACACAUCACAAAGAGGAGGAGACAGAAUGACAGACUGCAGGCGCCAUCUGGGAGCGAGACGUGCAUUACAGGAGCUAUCCAUAUGGUCGGGGCAUCAUGACUUUGCUCAUCUCAUCUCCCGUCAACAUCUCUUUCUGCUUAAGUCCUCUCUCAAAUUAUCCACAUACACAUUCUUAACAGAAAGACAACAACAUGCAUGUGUUUAUGUAUUUUUGCAGAGAUUAUACGAAUUUACACAUAUCAGUCGGUAUUAGAUUAAAAUGUUAAACUCAUGUCUUCAAUACUCUUAAAAUGUACAUUUCUUCAUUAAUCAGGUGCCAUAGAUCGACUCUUCAUACUAUCUGAUUAUAACACAUUUAUUAUAAUACAGAAAAUGAUUUGCCACCUCAAUAUCAUCCCCACCCCCAGUCGUUGUUCAGUGUCGGGAGCUGGGGGCUUUUUUAGACCCAUCUGCUGUCUCGCACCUUCUAAUCUGCACCCCCCCCCCCCCCCCCAGAACCCAACUGCACCGUACUCCUCAUCCUGUCCCCAUCCUACCCACCCAUCACCCAGUGCAUAAUAUAUUCCCCCUGUAACCAAAUACUACAGCUCACAUUGUAUUAAGCCACAUUGCAUAUGCUUAUAACACGCACAGUGAUGUUUACAGACCUGUCAUCUGGAAUGUACUGUAGGCUAGAUGUAAGAUAAGUGUAUCUAUGUAUAUUUAGAAAUAAAGAGUGUCGAUAUUAAAUCAGUAUAAACCUCUGUGUGUUUACUAAUUAGGACAAAUUCUUAUUCUACUCAAAAUAAACACUUAUUCGUCCCAAUUACUUUUUUAUUGUCAUCUGUUUUGUUGAUCAGCUUUCUUUAUGUUUACAAGUGGAAAACAUUUUCUGUCCA